AAUCAACGCUGGCGGCGUGCCUCAGACAUGCAAGUCGAACGCGAAAUUUCCCUUCGGGGAGAAAGUAGAGUGGCGCACGGGUGAGUAACACGUAGGUAAUUUGCCUUUGGGUGGGGAAUAACUCAGGGAAACUUGAGCUAAUACCGCAUAAUGCAGCGGCUCGACAUCGAGACAGUUGUUAAAAGCGGGGAUUGGAGCAAUCCGACCUCGCGCCUAAAGAGAAGCCUGCGGCAGAUUAGCUAGUUGGUAAGGUAAUGGCUUACCAAGGCGACGAUCUGUAACCGGGCCUGAGAGGGCGGUCGGUCACACUGACACUGACAUACGGGUCAGACUCCUACGGG
rnacentral:rRNA from 1 species